rnacentral:rRNA from 1 species
UACGGGGGGUGCGAGCGUUGUCCGGAAUCACUGGGCGUAAAGGGCGCGUAGGUGGUUUGAUAAGGGUGUGGUGAAAGCCCGGGGCUCAACCCCGGGUCUGCCGUGCCGACUGUCAAACUCGAGGGCUGUAGAGGCAGACGGAAUUCCGGGUGUGAGCGGGUGGAAUGCGUAGAGAUCGGGAGGAACACCCGUGGCGAAGGCGGAUGGCCGUGGACCUCGAGCUGACGCUGAGGCGCGAAAGCGUGGGGAGCGAGUCGG